GACGAACGCUGGCGGCGUGCUUAACACAUGCAAGUCGAACGGAAAGGCCCUGCUUUUGUGGGGUGCUCGAGUGGCGAACGGGUGAGUAACACGUGAGUAACCUGCCCUUGACUUUGGGAUAACUUCAGGAAAGUGGGGCUAAUACCGGAUAGGAGCUACUGCUGCAUGGUGGGGGUUGGAAAGUUUCGGCGGUUGGGGAUGGACUAGCGGCUUAUCAGCUUGUUGGUGGGGUAGUGGCUUACCAAGGCUUUGACGGGUAGCCGGCCUGAGAGGGUGACCGGCCACAUUGGGACUGAGAUACGGCCCAGACUCCUACGGGAGGCAGCAGUGGGGAAUAUUGCACAAUGGGCGGAAGCCUGAUGCAGCAACGCCGCGUGCGGGAUGACGGCCUUCGGGUUGUAAACCGCUUUCGCCUGUGACGAAGCGUGAGUGACGGUAAUGGGUAAAGAAGCACCGGCUAACUACGUG
rnacentral:rRNA from 1 species